GAUGAACGCUGGCGGCGUGCUUAACACAUGCAAGUCGAACGGGAAAUACUUUAUUGAAACUUCGGUGGAUUUAAUUUAUUUCUAGUGGCGGACGGGUGAGUAACGCGUGGGUAACCUGCCUUAUACUGGGGGAUAACAGCCAGAAAUGACUGCUAAUACCGCAUAAGCGCACAGAACCGCAUGGUUCGGUGUGAAAAACUCCGGUGGUAUAAGAUGGACCCGCGUUGGAUUAGCUAGUUGGCAGGGCAGCGGCCUACCAAGGCGACGAUCCAUAGCCGGCCUGAGAGGGUGAACGGCCACAUUGGGACUGAGACACGGCCCAGACUCCUACGGGAGGCAGCAGUGGGGAAUAUUGCACAAUGGGGGAAACCCUGAUGCAGCGACGCCGCGUGAAGGAAGAAGUAUCUCGGUAUGUAAACUUCUAUCAGCAGGGAAGAUA
rnacentral:rRNA from 1 species